GCUGCCUGAGUAAAAACUGCAUUAAGAAGAACCGGUGGUUGCGUCUUUUUUGCUGGUGGAGUGGGACACGACAAAUGGUGCCAAAACCCGGGACCUGAAUCCCCCACCGAAGAGGUUCAGAACUUUCUGCAGUCUGGGUCUGUGGACAGGAUGAGUACGAAUCUCGAAGAGCCAGUGUGGGUUCCAGAGAGGCUAGUGCGACGCUGUCAAAAUGAAGAAGCUGAUCUUGCUGGUGAUAAGCACGUGUCUGCCCCUGAUGGGUGCGGAACCCAGAUGGGGAAUACUGUUGGUGUUCAAAUUGGACUGCAAAUUUGAUGGCAAGAUGAAUGAGCUUCACUCGGCGAUUGUCACCGUGAAUUCUACCUGAGUGGAUCCUGGCUUGGCAUAGGCAAAGAAUGGACUGGGAUAGAUGCCUUCGCUAUGGCCCUUGUUUUGGCAUGCAUGUUGUGUGUGUGGUGUAUGUGUCAGUUGCAGAAUGCCCAGGUCCAGACUGCUGCCAUGGUGGUGCAAGCUCUUGCCGCAGUGGAAGCAGGGCAGUCACCUCAGAUUUGGCUUGCUACCAUGAAGAGUGAACAGUGAAGCCAUCGCUCCGUAGGGUUGUUCGGCUAAGCACUGCACAGAGGUUAGUCUGGAAGCUAUUUGACUAUCUCUGGGAGGUAUGUCUGAUUGCAUGAGGGUUGAGUGUCCUAGUGUCCUUCACCCAGGAAAAAACGGCAUGGGAGCAGGUCAGGGUUGCUCUGGGUAAAAACCUGUGAGCCUAAGAGUCAAUCCUGUACAUGGCCCCUAUUUCUGCACACUGGGGAUCAGACCUCUAUCUUCACCCACGGAGCUUGUUCAAAAAAAUAUAAAAGGGGGAAUUGUAGGGAGCCAUUCUGGACUUCCUGGUCAGCAGGAUGGAAGUCUGCUCCAGGUAGUAAACAAGCCCAUGUUUGGUGGAUGGCUCGCCCUUAAUCCCUGAUUGGCUGAGCAAGCCUGCCUGGUGAGGUGAUGUGACCUGUGGUGAUUGGUGGGGGCAUGGUUGUAGCUGGAGUGGAGAAAAACACUUGUAACAAGAGAGGCUGGGGGAUUUGAAGUAAGUAGCUGCCUGAGUAAAAACUGCAUUAAGAAGAA
rnacentral:lncRNA from 1 species